CUUUUGUGGUGGCCCUCACUGCAGUUUCUGCUCUUUCUCAGCCUUCUACUUUCACUUGGAGUUUGGGGUGUUGCUUGUGUUUCAAGACUUGUCCAAUGCGAAUCUAGUACUGUGACUCAGAGGAACCUGCAGGGUGUCAAAAGAACUCUAUGCUCCUGCACUCGGAGGAAUCAUGUUGUCUAUUGGGAUCAGGCUUUCAAUUGAUGACUUUGCUCUGGCAUUCAAAAGGCCUGUCCCUCUGUCUAUUGGAUUUGUUGCACAAUAUGCCUGAAACCAGCACUUGGAG